rnacentral:lncRNA from 1 species
AUGCCAGUAUCACUACAGUUGGUCCUUCAUUACCUUCUAGUCAUGUUCUUAUAUUAUUAUCAUAUUCUCCCUGAUUGUGUUUUUACUUUGGCCCGAAGUCAUUUUUGCAGCAAUUUAUAGUGUAGUUACGUACAAGUUGCUUACAGUGAGAAAAGUAGAGAUGUUUUGUUUGUUAUAAUGACAAGGUUUUCUUUAGUUGGAUCUCAUAUAAUCUUUCGGGAUUGAAACAUCCAACGUCUUCCUUUCAUUGCAGUGCAGGUCGGUACGGAAAAGUACAUGAUGCUUAUUUAGUGGAUUAAAACUUUCGGAAGAUUCUGUGUUAAUACAUGCUAUUCCUCUCCUUGGAUCUUCCCUGGUAAAAACUUAUUUCUGGGUACUGAUUACUAAAAUUUACCCUGGAAUGUAACUUACAUGUCUCUGGGUAUUUGCUUUUAUAUUUUAUAUAUAUAUAUAUAUAUAUAUAUUUUCCAGUAAUGUUGGGAAAAUGUUGAACAGCUGGAUUGAUUUAUAUUGUAUUUUAGACACCAAUAGUGUUGGAAGCUUCUGAAAAUUGAGAGAUCCACACUGUUCUUGUUAGUGAUAAAGAGAGGACAAGCUUUAUAUCCAUAUAUAUAUAUAUAACGGAGUGGUGAUUUAAGCAACAUCUGUAUCUAAUAUUCUUUUGGAUACCCAUAUUCAGCCUUUACUUGGAUAUUUUCGUGAUUAAAAACAGAUCAAAGGGCCUAAUUAUGUGCCUUUUUGACCAGGAGCUUAAACUGGGGUCAUAUUCAGAGCAUAUGUAUGUGUGUAUAUAAAGCAAAAAGAUCAUGAGGAUUAUUUGGAGAACUUUCAGAAAGGGAAAAGAUAUGAAAUCUUCAAGGGUCACUAAAUAGGUAAUUCCUGGGUAAUUAAGUAUAUUCAAGUAAUCAUUAGGGGGUCCCAGGUAAUCCUUUUUUUUCAAGUUUAAUACGCAGCCUGUAUAAAUAUUCCACCCAUUCAUAUUUGUUCUCUGCACUCUAAUACGUAGUUUAACUAGCCUAUAGCCAUAACCCUCACAUACAAAAUAAACAAACUAAAUUUACUCUUUUCCUUAUUAGAUUUCAUUGCUUGUUCAACUAGUGGCUUCUGCUGAAGCUGUGAGGCAGUUCAAUGAUACGCUAAAAUUGAUUUAGUUUCU